rnacentral:rRNA from 1 species
UACGUAGGUGACAAGCGUUGUCCGGAUUUACUGGGCGUAAAGAGCGCGCAGGCGGUCGUUCAAGUCGAGUGUGAAAGCCCCCGGCUCAACUGGGGAGGGUCACUCGAUACUGAUCGACUCGAAGGCAGGAGAGGGAAGUGGAAUUCCCGGUGUAGUGGUGAAAUGCGUAGAUAUCGGGAGGAACACCAGUGGCGAAGGCGACUACCUGGCCUGUUUCUUGACGCUGAGGCGCGAAAGCUAGGGGAGCAAACGGG